rnacentral:lncRNA from 1 species
UAAAGAAGAAGUAAGAAGUAAAUGCCUACACUGACAUCAUACAGUACCGUUCGACCACCGUACGCAUAUAGUACGAGUAUUCCGCAAUACUGCAGACUGGCAGAACAUGGUUCCAGUGAAAAUUGAAAACCCUCCCGCCUUUACACAAGCGCUAAUUUACAUAGAGAUUUUACUUUUUACAGGCCAUAUGUACGUUGGGGCGGACAUCGGUCUUUGUUUCAAUGCUAAUGAGCCGCAGGCCUGUGUGUCUGUUGGGCCUUGCUUAGGCCACUAUUCCAGGCCGCAGUGAGAGUGGAUGGGUCGGGUUUUAGUGGCGACUUUAAUGGCUUGUGAACCAGUUUGAUGGCAGCCAGAAGGCAGCACCAGCAGCCAUUCGAAGAAUAAUUCUUGUUAACUGUGCCAUAAAUCAACUAUAAGCCAACACAUACAUAUAUACAUACAUAUGUACAUACAUUCAUUCGAGUACGACAUUUUAAAAAUUCCGUCCAUGUGUUGUACAGCGGGAAAU